UGAGGAAUAUUGGGUCAAUGGACGAAAGUCUGAACCAGCCAUGCCGCGUGAAGGAAUAAGGCCCUAUGGGUCGUAAACUUCUUUUGUAUGUGAGCAAUAAGGUCCACGUGUGGUCCGAUGAGAGUAGCAUACGAAUAAGCAUCGGCUAACUCCGUGCCAGCAGCCGCGGUAAUACGGAGGAUGCAAGCGUUAUCCGGAUUUAUUGGGUUUAAAGGGAGCGUAGGCGGGCUGUUAAGUCAGCGGUCAAAUGUCAGGGCCCAACCUUGGCAUGCCGUUGAUACUGGCGGCCUUGAGUUCACACAAGGAAGGUGGAGUUCGUCGUGUAGCGGUGAAAUGCUUAGAUAUGACGAAGAACUCCGAUUGCGAAGGCAGCCUUCUGGGGUGUUACUGACGCU
rnacentral:rRNA from 1 species